AGCUUUGCGCAGUGGCAGUAUCGUAGCCAAUGAGGUUUAUCCGAGGCGCGAUUAUUGCUAAUAGAUAUGGAAAAACUUGUUCUUCUCUUAGCUGCUUUGACAUUUGAGUCUGCAGUUAGUGUCUAAAUGGGC
rnacentral:snRNA from 1 species